rnacentral:misc_RNA from 1 species
AACCAUAGAAACCUGCGGAGUACCUGCGGAAGGAUCAUUAAAAAUUGAAUUAUCCUGCCAAAUUAUAUGGAUAAUAUAAAUCCAUAUUCAUUUCAUGUGCAUCUAUCGAUCGUAUACUUUGACAGAUCCUUCUUUCUUGAUUUUAUAUUUAGAAAGAUGGGGGAUUGAAUCCUCGGGGUCUGUCAAAGUUUUCCUUCUUCUCUCCUGAAUCCUUGAAAUUCUGAAAAAAAAUAAAAAUUU